AGCAAAGUAAUGAGGAAUGUUCCAAAAGGAUAUGAUGAACUGAGGUUUAUCAAGUCGGGGAGCAGAAGGCUGAAAUAAGACUGCUAAGCUCUAAACAAAUCCUUUAAGUCUUCACAGGGCAGGAAAGCGACAACUUUGGGGGCUAUCUUCUCUAGCAGGCAGAAAAAAGAAUGCCAGAACAAAAAUAGUAUACUCAAUGUAUAGUCAGAAAGCAGCUGAAGAAGUGAAGCGAGAACUGAUAGUUAAAAGUGAACUAUUACAUUCUAGAAAAGUCAUGGUGUGUAAGAAGAUCCAAAUGCGAGUAAAAUUUGGUGCCAUGACUCGGACUGGGGGACCUCCCUUAGGAGAUCAAUCCCUAUCCUCCUGCUCUUUGCUCCAUGAGAAAGAUCGACCUACGACCUCAGGUCCUCAGACUGACCAGCCCAAGGAACAUUUCACCAAUUUUAAAUCGGUUCCUUUCCUUUUCUGGUAGAGACAAAGGUGAAGCGUUUUAUCUGUGAACCCAAAACUCCGGCGCCGGUCACAGAAUCAGGAAGAGUCUUCCCUUGGUGUUUAACCACAUGGGGAUGCCUACAUGAUUAUUCACCCAUGUUUCAGAGGUGUCUGACCACGGAGGGAUGCCUGUCUUGGUCCUUCACCCUUAGCGGACCCCACUGAAAAUCGGACUGUUCAACUCCCCUGGCAGCCACUUCCAGAGCCCCUGGAACUCUGGCCCAAGGCUCUCUGACACCUUCCCAGACCUUCUUGGCUUAGCAGCUGAAGACUGACACUGCCCGAUCGCCUCAGAAGCCUAUAGGACCUUCACAGAUGCUCUGGGUAACCCUCACAGUGGAGGGCCUGGUUGCAGUAUGCCUGAAAUUUGGGAUGUAGAAGAUCCUGCCAAUGCUGGGAAAACUCCCUUAUGUAACCUCUUGGUGAAGGAUUCCAAACCUCACUUCACCACUGUAUUCCAGAACAGUGUUUACAAAGUCCUAGAAGUUGUAAAAGAAUGACUGCUACAUGACCUGCUGCCUACGGAGAACUACAUCUCUAAUGGUUUUAAUGUUUUGCUAAGUCAUGUGUUGUUCAUAUCCCAAAAACUUUUAUAGGUAACUGUUUUCAAAUAGAAAAUGUUUUAUUUGGUCAAUUUGAAUGUCAUUCUAAUUAUAAAAAUGACUCAUACCUUU